rnacentral:rRNA from 1 species
UACGUAGGGUGCGAGCGUUGUCCGGAAUUACUGGGCGUAAAGAGCUCGUAGGUGGUUUGUCGCGUUGUUCGUGAAAUCUCACGGCUUAACUGUGAGCGUGCGGGCGAUACGGGCAGACUAGAGUACUGCAGGGGAGACUGGAAUUCCUGGUGUAGCGGUGAAAUGCGCAGAUAUCAGGAGGAACACCGGUGGCGAAGGCGGGUCUCUGGGCCAAUACUGACGCUGAGGAGCGAAAGCGUGGGGAGCGAACAGG